UACGUAGGGUGCAAACGUUGCUCGGAAUUAUUGGGCGUAAAGCGCACGUAGGCGGCCUUGUAAGUCGGAUGUGAAAUCCCUCGGCUUAACCGAGGACGUGCAUCCGAAACUGUGAGGCUCGAGUAUGGAAGAGGGUCGCAGAAUUCCCGGUGUAGAGGUGAAAUUCGUAGAUAUCGGGAGGAAUACCAGUGGCGAAGGCGGCGACCUGGGCCAAUACUGACGCUGAGGUGCGAAAGCGUGGGGAGCAAACAGG
rnacentral:rRNA from 1 species